UUGUCCCUCUGCAAAUUUGUGUACACAGAGUCACUCCCUUACCUCUCUCUAAAAGUGCAAAGUUUCAAAAAGUUUGAUGAAUAGAAGAUUGUUGGGGGUGGGAUAGAUCUGGACAAGUAGUAGUAGUCUGGAGAUAAAUGUGAGAAGGGAGGGACAGGCAGUAGAAACAAAAGUGAAACUAUUUGAGCAGCAUAUUCUAAAAGUCUUGAGGUCUUUCUGAGUCUUUAUUGAUUUGAGAUCUACCAUACCAUUCUCUCACUAGAAGGGAAAACCUAUAAUGACAGCAGGCCAUAAAGGAGACUCAGUUUGGGAAUAUUUUAAUGAAGUUCCUCUACUUGUGAAGAAUAUGUAUUACGGUUAUAACAACCAACGAGAAUGCACAUUUAUGUAGAAAUCCAUGAUUAAA